rnacentral:rRNA from 1 species
GUGCCAGCAGCCGCGGUAAUACGGAGGGUGCGAGCGUUGUCCGGAAUCACUGGGCGUAAAGGGCGCGUAGGCGGUGACUUAAGCGUGUGGUGAAAGCCCGGGGCUCAACCCCGGGUCGGCCGUGCGAACUGGGUCACUCGAGCACUGUAGAGGCAGGUGGAAUUCCGGGUGUAGCGGUGGAAUGCGUAGAGAUCCGGAAGAACACCAGUGGCGAAGGCGGCCUGCUGGGCAGUAGCUGACGCUGAGGCGCGACAGCGUGGGGAGCAAACAGGAUUAGAUACCCUGGUAGUCC